UUCGAUUAUGGCUCCAGAUUGAACGCUGGCGGGAUACUUUACACAUGCAAGUCCGAACGGCAGCACGGACGCCCGGUCUGGUGGCGAGUGGCGAGCAGGGUGAAGUAUCAGGAACGUGCCUAGUAGCGGGGGAUAACUACCGCGAAAGCGUAGCUAAUACCACAUACGCCCAUCGGAGGACGGGGACCUUCGGGCCUCGCACUAUUAAGAGCGGCCGAUAUCGGAUUAGCGUUGGUGGGUAACGGCUCCCGCAAGGCGACGAUCCGUAGCUGGUUUGAGGACGACCAGCCACACUGGGACUGAGACACAGCCCAGACUCCUACGAGGCAGCAGUGGGGAAUUUUUGACAAUGGGGAAACCCUGAUCAGCCAUCCCGCGUGUGCGAUGAUGAAGGCCUUCGGAGUUGUAAAGCACUUUUGGCAGGAAAGGAAACGGCUGGGAUAAUGCCCCAUGCAACUGACUGUACCUGCAGAAUAAGCACCGGCUAACUACGUGCCAGCAGCCGCGGUAAUACGUAGGGUGCAAGCGUUAAUCGGAAUUACUGGGCGUAAAGCGUGCGCGACGGUUCGGGGAAAGAAGAUGUGAAAUCCAGAGCUUAACUUUGGAACUGCAUUUUUAACUACCGAGCUGGGGGUGUCAGAGGGAGGUGGAAUUCCACGCGUGUAUGAUGAAAUGCGUAGAUAUGGGAGCUUUACCGAUGUGAAGCAACCUCCUGGGAUAACACUGACGCUCAUGCACGAAAGCGUAGAACAAACAGGAUUAGAUACCCUGGUAGUCCACGCCUAAACGAUGUCAACUAGCUGUUGGGGCCUUCGGGCCUUGUGGCUGCAACUAACGCGUGAAGUUGACCGCCUGGGGAGUACGGUCGCAAGAUUAAAACUCGAGAGGAAUUGACGGGGACCCGCACAAGCGGUGGAUGAUGUGGAUUAAUUCGAUGCAACGCGAAAAAGCCUUACCUACCCUUGACAUGUCUGGAAUCCCGAAGAGAUUUGGGAGUGCUCGCCAAGAGAACCGGAACACAGGAAUUGCUGCAUGGCUGUCGUCAGCUCGUGUCGUGAAGAUGUUGGGUUAAGUCCCGCAACGAGCGCAACCCUUGUGGUAGUUGCUACGAAAGGGCACUCUAAUGAGACUGCCGGUGACAAACGGAGGAAGGUGGGGAUGACGUCAAGUCCUCAUGGCCCAUAUGAGUGAGGCUUCACGUCCUUACAAUGGUCGGGACAGAGGGUCGCCAACCCGCGAAGAGCCAAUCCCAGAAACCCGAUCAUGAGUCCGGAUCACCUAACAACUCGACUUUGCGUGAAGUCCGGAAUCGCUAGUAAUCGCGGAUCAGCAUGUCGCGGUGAAUACGUUCCCGGGUCUUGCUACACCGCCGUCGCACCAUGGGGGUGGGUUUUACCAGAAGUAGUUAGCCUAACCGUAAGGAGGGCGAUUACCACGGUAAGUUCAUGACUGGGGUGAAGUCGUAACAAGGUAAG
rnacentral:rRNA from 1 species